CUGCAAAUAUUCUCGCUGUCCUGAUUUUGUAAUAAUCAGGACAGGCUAAAAAUUUGCUAUAAUAUGAUCAUGCAUGUGUCCCCAGAUCUAGUACUUUAUCCAUCUAGGUCUGGUCUUUGAAAUGCUGGUGAUACAU